rnacentral:rRNA from 1 species
CUGAAUCAGUGUGUGUGUUAGUGGAAGCGUCUGGAAAGGCGCGCGAUACAGGGUGACAGCCCCGUACACAAAAAUGCACAUGCUGUGAGCUCGAUGAGUAGGGCGGGACACGUGGUAUCCUGUCUGAAUAUGGGGGGACCAUCCUCCAAGGCUAAAUACUCCUGACUGACCGAUAGUGAACCAGUACCGUGAGGGAAAGGCGAAAAGAACCCCGGCGAGGGGAGUGAAAAAGAACCUGAAACCGUGUACGUACAAGCAGUGGGAGCCUCUUUUAUGGGGUGACUGCGUACCUUUUGUAUAAUGGGUCAGCGACUUAUAUUCUGUAGCAAGGUUAACCGAAUAGGGGAGCCGAAGGGAAACCGAGUCUUAACUGGGCGUUAAGUUGCAGGGUAUAGACCCGAAACCCGGUGAUCUAGCCAUGGGCAGGUUGAAGGUUGGGUAACACUAACUGGAGGACCGAACCGACUAAUGUUGAAAAAUUAGCGGAUGACUUGUGGCUGGGGGUGAAAGGCCAAUCAAACCGGGAGAUAGCUGGUUCUCCCCGAAAGCUAUUUAGGUAGCGCCUCGUGAAUUCAUCUCCGGGGGUAGAGCACUGUUUCGGCAAGGGGGUCAUCCCGACUUACCAACCCGAUGCAAACUGCGAAUACCGGAGAAUGUUAUCACGGGAGACACACGGCGGGUGCUAACGUCCGUCGUGAAGAGGGAAACAACCCAGACCGCCAGCUAAGGUCCCAAAGUCAUGGUUAAGUGGGAAACGAUGUGGGAAGGCCCAGACAGCCAGGAUGUUGGCUUAGAAGCAGCCAUCAUUUAAAGAAAGCGUAAUAGCUCACUGGUCGAGUCGGCCUGCGCGGAAGAUGUAACGGGGCUAAACCAUGCACCGAAGCUGCGGCAGCGACGCUUAUGCGUUGUUGGGUAGGGGAGCGUUCUGUAAGCCUGUGAAGGUGUACUGUGAGGUAUGCUGGAGGUAUCAGAAGUGCGAAUGCUGACAUAAGUAACGAUAAAGCGGGUGAAAAGCCCGCUCGCCGGAAGACCAAGGGUUCCUGUCCAACGUUAAUCGGGGCAGGGUGAGUCGACCCCUAAGGCGAGGCCGAAAGGCGUAGUCGAUGGGAAACAGGUUAAUAUUCCUGUACUUGGUGUUACUGCGAAGGGGGGACGGAGAAGGCUAUGUUGGCCGGGCGACGGUUGUCCCGGUUUAAGCGUGUAGGCUGGUUUUCCAGGCAAAUCCGGAAAAUCAAGGCUGAGGCGUGAUGACGAGGCACUACGGUGCUGAAGCAACAAAUGCCCUGCUUCCAGGAAAAGCCUCUAAGCAUCAGGUAACAUCAAAUCGUACCCCAAACCGACACAGGUGGUCAGGUAGAGAAUACCAAGGCGCUUGAGAGAACUCGGGUGAAGGAACUAGGCAAAAUGGUGCCGUAACUUCGGGAGAAGGCACGCUGAUAUGUAGGUGAAGCGACUUGCUCGUGGAGCUGAAAUCAGUCGAAGAUACCAGCUGGCUGCAACUGUUUAUUAAAAACACAGCACUGUGCAAACACGAAAGUGGACGUAUACGGUGUGACGCCUGCCCGGUGCCGGAAGGUUAAUUGAUGGGGUUAGCGGUAACGCGAAGCUCUUGAUCGAAGCCCCGGUAAACGGCGGCCGUAACUAUAACGGUCCUAAGGUAGCGAAAUUCCUUGUCGGGUAAGUUCCGACCUGCACGAAUGGCGUAAUGAUGGCCAGGCUGUCUCCACCCGAGACUCAGUGAAAUUGAACUCGCUGUGAAGAUGCAGUGUACCCGCGGCAAGACGGAAAGACCCCGUGAACCUUUACUAUAGCUUGACACUGAACAUUGAGCCUUGAUGUGUAGGAUAGGUGGGAGGCUUUGAAGUGUGGACGCCAGUCUGCAUGGAGCCGGCCUUGAAAUACCACCCUUUAAUGUUUGAUGUUCUAACGUUGGCCCCUGAUCGGGGUUGCGGACAGUGUCUGGUGGGUAGUUUGACUGGGGCGGUCUCCUCCUAAAGAGUAACGGAGGAGCACGAAGGUUGGCUAAUCCUGGUCGGACAUCAGGAGGUUAGUGCAAUGGCAUAAGCCAGCUUGACUGCGAGCGUGACGGCGCGAGCAGGUGCGAAAGCAGGUCAUAGUGAUCCGGUGGUUCUGAAUGGAAGGGCCAUCGCUCAACGGAUAAAAGGUACUCCGGGGAUAACAGGCUGAUACCGCCCAAGAGUUCAUAUCGACGGCGGUGUUUGGCACCUCGAUGUCGGCUCAUCACAUCCUGGGGCUGAAGUAGGUCCCAAGGGUAUGGCUGUUCGCCAUUUAAAGUGGUACGCGAGCUGGGUUUAGAACGUCGUGAGACAGUUCGGUCCCUAUCUGCCGUGGGCGCUGGAGAACUGAGGGGGGCUGCUCCUAGUACGAGAGGACCGGAGUGGACGCAUCACUGGUGUUCGGGUUGUCAUGCCAAUGGCACUGCCCGGUAGCUAAAUGCGGAAGAGAUAAGUGCUGAAAGCAUCUAAGCACGAAACUUGCCCCGA